CAGGGCUGGAAUCCUGCAUUUCCCCAAAGUCCCUUCCUUUUUAGUCUGGCCAGUCCUUUUCCUUCGCACCAAGAGAAAGAGUCUCUGGCAGUCGUUUGGGACGCCGGAUCCAAGAGGUGCAGGAGAGGAUUUCGGGAGAGGGAAGGACGCGAUCUGGGCCCAAGCUGAACUUUGCGCCCUCUGCCUUAGAGGUUCCCCGAGUACAGAGUUGGAGGGGAAGGAAAACUUCGGCCGCCCUUUAAUUCUGAAACACGCUUGCUUUCUCCAGGAGGGGGCGUGAGGAGCGCUGAGCGGCGAGACCACGGUGUGGGACCCGGGAGCCAUUGUUGGAACAGGAUGGACACCUUGUAGAAACAAACCUCCCCCAAGUUGCAUGGAGUUUGGGUUUUGUUAUUGUUGUGUCUAGAAGCCAGUAGCUGGGGCUCAGGUUUUUUCCAGAAUGGCAUUCGGUCUGUACCUGCUCCAGGAACAGAGCUGCCAGAGGUGUAAUAAUAGCAUCUUCCAGUGUGGAAAUGUUUUCCAUCCACCGACGUUCCCCUUCCUUCUUCUCACUCCCUAUUCCUCUGUCCAACGUGAACGAAACCCGGGAGAAGGGGAAGAGUACCGGACAUGACAAUAUGAAAAAAAAAAAAAUUUCCCCCCUCAUGCCCAAGCGAUUUCCAACCCAGCAGCCUAAAUUCUUGAUUUUUGAUGUGCUUGGAAAGUAUUUGAAUUGAGUGAGAAGCUGUGUACUAUGGAAAGCAAGCGUGUAUAUUUGUUUCUCUUUUCCUUGUUAUUAGGAAGAAGUGAUAAAACCGACGACUGGCUCAGGUCUCCACAAGAACCAAAACAAAACAAAAAGGAGGCUUUAUUGUUGGCACGUAAAUUAGACAUGGCAAGUGGAGAGGACAAUGACACAAAUAUUAUUUCAAGAUUCAUCCAAGGAGUCAGGUUCUAUUUAGGGGAAGCCAGAGCGUCCAAACACAGCGUCGCCAGUCGCCAACUCGAGAGGUAUGGCCAGUUUCAGCUAGAACGGGACCCAAGCUCCCAAGAUGCCAAACCAGGCCAGCGAAAUAUCAAGCACAGGGGAUACCCGGAUGACAUCGGAAGCCAUUCCCAGCAGUAGAAUCCAGUGAGUCGAAACCCCCUGGCUUAGUGAAAAAUAUUGCAGCCCAAAUUCCUACAAGGGAAGAAAGUACAAGUUUUGAGAAACGGCUGAACUCCUGACCCUUUUCCUGCCAGGCGGCUGAAGAGGCAAACUUGGAGAGGCUCUUCCUUGUGCAGCCGGUUGAAACUUGCUGCCUCUGUUUAACCGCAAGUCCCAAGUCCCAACGCUGCAGGAAUUUCCCUUUCUCCAUGGCCUGUCUUUUGAGCAAGGCUGAGAAGAAGGUAAGAGGCCUUCUCUAUAAAGCUCUUUGGCGUCCCCAGGGGGUCCACUGGCAGCCGGUCUGUAGCGUUUCUGCUUGGGGUGGGGCAGCAGUGAAGGAUUCAUCUGGAGAUUCCCUCACCGGCCUCCCUCUUCAGGCCCUGCCUUAGCACUUAAUCCAUUACCCUGUACUUGACAGUGAUUUGCCAAUAGCUCACGUAACAGGAAGUUUCCCUGGUCAGUGGCUUCUCUCUGAUGGUUCCUUUUCAGCCUCCUUAAAGGCCUGCUUCUCUGCUAGGGCUCCAUAACCAUCCUCU
rnacentral:lncRNA from 1 species